CGGGGCGUAGCGCAGUCUGGUUAGCGCGCCUGCCUUGGGAGCAGGAGGCCGGAGGUUCGAAUCCUCUCGCCCCGACCA
rnacentral:tRNA from 13 species